CAGGCUUAACACAUGCAAGUCGAGGGGCAGCAUGGUCUUAGCUUGCUAAGGCCGAUGGCGACCGGCGCACGGGUGAGUAACACGUAUCCAACCUGCCGUCUACUCUUGGACAGCCUUCUGAAAGGAAGAUUAAUACAAGAUGGCAUCAUGAGUCCGCAUGUUCACAUGAUUAAAGGUAUUCCGGUAGACGAUGGGGAUGCGUUCCAUUAGAUAGUAGGCGGGGUAACGGCCCACCUAGUCUUCGAUGGAUAGGGGUUCUGAGAGGAAGGUCCCCCACAUUGGAACUGAGACACGGUCCAAACUCCUACGGGAGGCAGCAGUGAGGAAUAUUGGUCAAUGGGCGAGAGCCUGAACCAGCCAAGUAGCGUGAAGGAUGACUGCCCUAUGGGUUGUAAACUUCUUUUAUAAAGGAAUAAAGUCGGGUAUGCAUACCCGUUUGCAUGUACUUUAUGAAUAAGGAUCGGCUAACUCCGUGCCAGCAGCCGCGGUAAUACGGAGGGUCCGAGCGUUAUCCGGAUUUAUUGGGUUUAAAGGGAGCGUAGAUGGAUGUUUAAGUCAGUUGUGAGAGUUUGCGGCUCAACCGUAAAAUUGCAGUUGAUACUGGAUAUCUUGAGUGCAGUUGAGGCAGGCGGAAUUCGUGGUGUAGCGGUGAAAUGCUUAGAUAUCACGAAGAACUCCGAUUGCGAAGGCAGCCUGCUAAGCUGCAACUGACAUUGAGGCUCGAAAGUGUGGGUAUCAAACAGGAUUAGAUACCCUGGUAGUCCACACGGUAAACGGUGAAUACUCGCUGUUUGCGAUAUACAGCAAGCGGCCAAGCGAAAGCGUUAAGUAUUCCACCUGGGGAGUACGCCGGCAACGGUGAAACUCAAAGGAAUUGACGGGGGCCCGCACAAGCGGAGGAACAUGUGGUUUAAUUCGAUGAUACGCGAGGAACCUUACCCGGGCUUAAAUUGCAGAUGAAUUACGGUGAAAGCCGUAAGCCGCAAGGCAUCUGUGAAGGUGCUGCAUGGUUGUCGUCAGCUCGUGCCGUGAGGUGUCGGCUUAAGUGCCAUAACGAGCGCAACCCUUGUUGUCAGUUACUAACAGGUUCCGCUGAGGACUCUGACAAGACUGCCAUCGUAAGAUGUGAGGAAGGUGGGGAUGACGCCAAAUCAGCACGGCCCUUACGUCCGGGGCUACACACGUGUUACAAUGGGGGGUACAGAGGGCCGCUACCACGCGAGUGGAUGCCAAUCCCAAAAACCUCUUUCAGUUCGGACUGGAGUCUGCAACCCGACUCCACGAAGCUGGAUUCGCUAGUAAUCGCGCAUCAGCCACGGCGCGGUGAAUACGUUCCCGGGCCUUGUACACACCGCCCGUCAAGCCAUGGGAGCCGGGGGUACCUGAAGUGCGUAACCGCGAGGAGCGCCCUAGGGUAAAACUGGUGACUGGGGCUAAGUCGUA
rnacentral:rRNA from 1 species